GAUGAACGCUGGCGGCGUGCCUAAUACAUGCAAGUCGAGCGAACAGACGAGGAGCUUGCUCCUCUGACGUUAGCGGCGGACGGGAGAGUAACACGUGUAUAACCUACCUAUAAGACUGGGAUAACUUCGGGAAACCGGAGCAAAUACCGGAUAAUAUAUUGAACCGCAUGGUUCAAUAGUGAAAGACGGUUUUGCGGGCACUAAUAGAUGGAUCCGCGCCGCAUUAGCGAGUUGGUAAGGUAACGGCUUACCAAGGCAACGAUGCGUAGCCGACCUGAGAGGGUGAUCGGCCACCCUGGAACUGAGACACGCACCUGGCUCCUACGGGACGCAGCAGUAGGGAAUCUUCCGCAGUGGGCGAAAGCCUGACGGAGCAACGCCACGUGAGUGAUGAAGGUCUUCGGAUCGUAAAACUCUGUUAUUAGGGAAGAACAAAUGUGUAAGUAACUAUGCACGUAUUGACGGUACCUAAUAAGAAAGCAACGGCUAACUACGUG
rnacentral:rRNA from 1 species